rnacentral:rRNA from 1 species
GACGAACGCUGGCGGCGUGCUUAACACAUGCAAGUCGAACGGAAAGGCCCUGCUUUUGUGGGGUGCUCGAGUGGCGAACGGGUGAGUAACACGUGAGUAACCUGCCCUUGACUUUGGGAUGACUUCAGGAAACUGGGGCUAAUACCGGAUAGGAGCUCCUGCUGCAUGGUGGGGGUUGGAAAGUUUCGGCGGUUGGGGAUGGACUCGCGGCUUAUCAGCUUGUUGGUGGGGUAGUGGCUUACCAAGGCUUUGACGGGUAGCCGGCCUGAGAGGGUGACCGGCCACAUUGGGACUGAGAUACGGCCCAGACUCCUACGGGAGGCAGCAGUGGGGAAUAUUGCACAAUGGGCGGAAGCCUGAUGCAGCAACGCCGCGUGCGGGAUGGCGGCCUUCGGGUUGUAAACCGCUUUCGCCUGUGACGAAGCGUGAGUGACGGUAAUGGGUAAAGAAGCACCGGCUAACUACGUG